rnacentral:rRNA from 1 species
GUGGGGAAUAUUGGGCAAUGGGGGAAACCCUGACCCAGCAACGCCGCGUGAGGGAAGAAGGUUUUCGGAUUGUAAACCUCUGUCCUCAGGGACGAAAAAAAUGGCGGUACCUGAGGAGGAAGCCCCGGCUAACUACGUGCCAGCAGCCGCGGUAAUACGUAGGGGGCGAGCGUUGUUCGGAAUGACUGGGCGUAAAGGGCGCGUAGGCGGCCUGUCAAGUUGGGAGUGAAAUUCCUGCUUUCAAGGUAGGAACUGCUUUCAAAACUGUCGGGCUUGAGUGCGGAAGAGAUAAGUGGAAUUCCCAGUGUAGCGGUGAAAUGCGUAGAGAUUGGGAGGAACACCAGUGGCGAAGGCGACUUACUGGGCCGUAACUGACGCUGAUGCGCGAAAGCGUGGGGAGCAAACAGGAUUAGAAACCCCGGUAGUCC